rnacentral:rRNA from 1 species
UCUAGAAGCUUCGGCAAUGGGGGAAACCCUGACCGAGCGACGCCGCGUGCAGGACGAAGGUCUUCGGAUCGUAAACUGCUUUCGCUGAGGGAGAAAUGCUCUAGGGUGAAUAAUCCUGGGGCUAGACGGUACUCAGUAAAGAAGCUCCGGCUAAGUCCGUGCCAGCAGCCGCGGUAAUACGGGCGGAGCGAGCGUGGUUCGGAUUCAUUGGGUGUAACGGGUGCGAAGGCGGUCGUCUAAGUCGGAGGUGAAAUGUCUACGGCUCAACCGAGGCAUUGCCUCCGUUACUGGACGACUUGAGUGCGGAAGGGGAGCGUGGAAUUCCUGGUGUAGCGGUGAAAUGCGUAGAUAUCAGGAGGAACACCGGUGGCGAAGGCGACGCUCUGGUCCGCAACUGACGCCCAUGCACGAAAGCCAGGGGAGCGAACG